GGGCGUACUUUACAAUACAGGAAAAUGUAAAUAAAGAUAGGUGCACUUUUAGGUGCAUAAGAAAAGAUGAUGUAGCAAUCACAAGACUGAGGUUUGGACACUGUGGGCUGAGGAGUGGGCUGGCUCUGAUUGGCAAACACCCAGGUGGCAGGUGUGAGUGUGGAGAAAGAGAGACUUGUAAAACAUGUACUUCUCCAGUGGGGGCGCUAUUCCAGGCAAAGGAGGACUCUGUACCGGAGGCUUGGAUCAGCCGGGGAAUCAUUUUUUAAUUUGCGCACCCUUUUAAAUCUGGAUUCAGUGGAUAAAACAAAGGAAUUGAUGGACUACAUAUUACAGUGUGCCUUGCUCUACACGACGGCCGGGGGCCAGAGGCGUCUGCGCGUCCACAACCUCAGUCUGAACUGCAGCUCCCCAGCUGAUGGAGCUGUUCAAGAGCUGCGAGACGGACUCGCUCAUCAACUUCUUCUCCAAAACAGACGCUGUUCCACCCGGUGAAGGGCGUGUACGAGCAGCUGUCCAAGGACUGUGUGGCUCAGGGCUGCAGUGUGGACCUCUUCCUGUUCCCCAGCCAGUACCUGGACAUCGCCACCAGGGGGAUGUGCCCGCACACCGGGGGCGCCGUCUACAAGUACAGCAACUUCCAGGUGGAGACCGACGGGGGAACACGAAGGAUGUGGAGAAGCCCAUCGGGUUUGACGCCAUCAUGCGCGUCCGCACCAGCUCAGGCUUCCGGGCGACGGACUUCUUCGGCGGCGUGUACAUGAACAACACGACGGACGUGGAGCUGGCGGCGAUGGACUGUGACCACGCCAUCACCGUGGAGCUGAAGCACGACGACACGCUCAGCGAGGAGACGGGCGCCUUCAUGCAGGGUGCCUUGCUCUACACCACGGUCGGGGGCCAGAGGCGUCUGCGCGUCCACAACCUCAGUCUGAACUGCAGCUCCCAGCUGAUGGAGCUGUUCAAGAGCUGCGAGACGGACUCGCUCAUCAACUUCUUCUCCAAAACAGAUUGCAGAACAUAUGCAACAGCGCCCCCUGGGGUCACACUUUUCGGAGCUGAUCGCCUACGGUGGCUGUGGACCUGGGGUGAGUGCCUCUCACCUGACCCCCCUAGAUAGGUUAGAUUGCACUCACCAAGUUCAGCACAGAACGUACAUAGGUUACGGGUAAUAACGAGCUAAAGUUUAAAAUAUAAUUUACAAUUCACAUUGAUUAUUGUAAUGUAUUCUGAUUCCAGGGAGAGCAAUUCUCAUUCCCACUCACCCAUUCAGAAUGACUGUUUGUGCAAAUUAAUUAUUGUGAAUUAAGUCAUUCACAGUAAUCAAUUCACACAGUUAUCCGCACACGUGUUCGAUUCCGGCCUAGGGCUAGGCCGGAAUCGAACCUAUGUCUCCAGAACCGAUAGGUAACAGCCUUACCACCUGCGCCACAUAGGCACCAGCUAGUGAAUGGUGUGAGGUUAUAAUUGACUUUCCAGUUCACUUGAAAUUGAUUAUUGUAAAAUAUUUUGAUUCCAGGGAGAGCAAUUUUGGUGUGAGUUGAACCCAUGAGGAGCACGUGUCUCAAGAAUUGGUCACCCGAACCCCAGGUCUGCAGUGCUUAUGAAGGCACGGCAGAAGGUUCCCACACUUCAUGGAGGAGGCCAAACAAAUGGCGGCUGGAUUAAUUCCACCAGUCUCCAGACAGAGGCGAAAAAGAGAAGUGAAUGACGUUUCCAGUGACAGAAUACAAAUAAUAUAUUGUAUAGGCUUGAUAUUGAUUUGACUGUUUGAUUCUUUUGACAGUGAUUUGGAGCUGAUGGCAGUUAGCAUGAAGAAGCUAUAUCUUUAAGCUUCUGUAGAUUAUUUGUUAAAUAAAUUGUGAGGAAACUUUGGUGUGGUUAUUCUUCAAUGUAUAUUUAUAUCAAAUUAUGAUGAUAUACUUUACAAAAAAUUAAAUUUGAUUCAAUUAGACAUUAAAAAAAAUUACUUCAUUCUAAUGGUCAAUUACUCAAUGAGUAAAGUGUAUAAUACACAAUUCCAUUAAAUAAUUGUCUACACACUAAAUGAGUUUAUUCGUCUAAAUAACGUUAAAGAAAUUAAGCAAUAAAAAUGCUUGCUGACAUGUCAUAAUAUUGUUUGAUUCUAAUGUUUUGGUCUAAUAAGUUUAAGAACGCAAAGAAAAAAUCCUGAGGUAUUUGUCUAAAUAACGUUAAACCUUUAUUAAGCUCUAAAAGUGGUUACUAACGUGUCGA